GGAGUUUGGACCGUGUCUCAGUUCCAAUGUGGGGGACCUUCCUCUCAGAACCCCUACCGAUCGUCGCCUUGGUGGGCCGUUACCCCGCCAACAAGCUAAUCGGACGCAUCCCCAUCCCCUACCGAUGAAUCUUUCGUUAUAUUCCCAUGCGGAAUCAUAACUGCACCGGGUAUUAAUCUUACUUUCGCAAGGCUAUCCCCGGGUAGGGGGCAGGUUGGAUACGCGUUACUCACCCGUGCGCCGGUCGCCAUCAGAGGAAGCAAGCUUCCUCCAUGCUGCCCCUCGACUUGCAUGUGUUAAGCCUGUAGCUAGCGUUCAUC
rnacentral:rRNA from 1 species